GAUGGGGUUGUAGCAUCGAGCAUCAGUCCCUUAAUGACGUGGGGUGAAGCUCUUUCUUUCUUUAUUUUUUAUUUUUUAUUUUUUAUUUUUUUUUGAUACAUAGGUUGUUCGGUGAAGCAUUUUUCCUGUAUUAAAUAUUAAUGUAGCCAAACUGAGCAGUGCCACCAAGAGGAAGUACUCUUGCAGCGCCAAUCGUCCAAGUCAAUAUGCUUAAUGCAGGUCAAUAGUUUGCCAUGACGAAAGCACUUUGGUCAACUAGUCGAUAAAAUCUUGAACGGUUCGGAAAUUUGAACAGGAAUCACCAUUGAACCGUUAUUUUUGACUAGUCAAGAAUUAUCACACUUCUGCAAUAAAUUAAUUACAGCAACCCAAAUUAAAAAGUAAAUUGGCAUCCAAUGAUCAAUUCAUGACAUUCUUAGUUAGGCAACUCACAGCUUACUGCUAGCUAGUUUGAACCUUAGACCGACUCUAUGGAGGCGCCACCCACUCCACUCUAUUGGCUCGAAAAAUUUAUUCUAUCAGAAGGCGAACCAUAUACUGUCGAACUCACUUAUUUUGAUAUCGAUGAUUGUGGUGAUCUUUGAUC
rnacentral:lncRNA from 1 species